rnacentral:rRNA from 1 species
UGGGGAAUUUUUGGCAAUGGGGGCAACCCUGACCAAGCAACGCCGCGUGGAUGAUGAAGUAUCUCGGUACGUAAAAUCCUUUCGACGGGGACGAAACCGCAAGGUUGACGGUACCCGUAGAAGAAGCCCCGGCUAACUCCGUGCCAGCAGCCGCGGUAAUACGGGGGGGGCAAGCGUUGUUCGGAAUUACUGGGCGUAAAGGGCGCGUAGGCGGCUUGUUAAGUCGGGUGUGAAAACUCUGGGCUCAACCCAGAGCCUGCAUUCGAAACUGAUGAGCUAGAGUUCUGGAGGGGAAAGCGGAAUUCCUGGUGUAGCAGUGAAAUGCGUAGAUAUCAGGAGGAACACCGGUGGCGAAGGCGGCUUUCUGGACAGAAACUGACGCUGAUGCGCGAAAGCUAGGGGAGCAAACAGGAUUAGAUACCCUGGUAGUCCUAGCCCUAAACGAUGGAUACUUGCUGUGAGGGGAUUGAAUCCUUCGUGGCGAAGCUAACGCAUUAAGUAUCCGCCUGGGGAGUACGGUCGACG